UGUCACAGUCGUUAAAGUGGUCGCUCUGACCGUAGUCCAAGCCAGGGUCAAGAUCAAGCCUUAAUGUUUACGUAUAAAAAGUGCAUGUGCUUUUCGGUAAGUAGGCGAAACAAAAUUUUCUUGCGGCGUGCAAAGGGGAUUGCCCGUCAACAUCCGUCAGCUUUUUCAACACUCGGAAGAGAAACGAGAAAAAAGCGAAACUGUCAUUGUACUUCAUAAACUCCCAGAAUCAUCUCAUUUCCCGUUUUAUGAAGACAGGUCUCGUUAAACAUGAAGUGGAAGAUGUUGCUGUUGGCCAUAUAUCUUUUUAAAGGCUAAUCAUUUAAUAUAUAUUUUUUCUUUUCAAUGGAAGAGGGAAUAACGUAGAGGUAAGAGUAUUUCUUAAGACUUUCUUAAGAGUAUUUUCUAUUUAAAGUCAAGUUCAUCAAUACAGAGUAAAGGUAUUUGUGGGACUAAUGUGAUAUAAAGCAUCGCUCCUUUAACCAUAUUCAACAUUCCUUGUUGGAUUGCC